rnacentral:rRNA from 1 species
GCUUAUGCGUUGUUGGGUAGGGGAGCGUUCUGUAAGCCUGUGAAGGUGGCCUGUGAGGGUUGCUGGAGGUAUCAGAAGUGCGAAUGCUGACAUAAGUAACGAUAAAGCGGGUGAAAAGCCCGCUCGCCGGAAGACCAAGGGUUCCUGUCCAACGUUAAUCGGGGCAGGGUGAGUCGACCCCUAAGGCGAGGCCGAAAGGCGUAGUCGAUGGGAAACAGGUUAAUAUUCCUGUACUUGGUGUUACUGCGAAGGGGGGACGGAGAAGGCUAUGUUGGCCGGGCGACGGUUGUCCCGGUUUAAGCGUGUAGGUGUGUGUUCCAGGUAAAUCCGGUUCACUUUAACACUGAGGCGUGACGACGAGGCACUACGGUGCUGAAGCAACAAAUGCCCUGCUUCCAGGAAAAGCCUCUAAGCAUCAGGUAACAUCAAAUCGUACCCCAAACCGACACAGGUGGUCAGGUAGAGAAUACCAAGGCGCUUGAGAGAACUCGGGUGAAGGAACUAGGCAAAAUGGUGCCGUAACUUCGGGAGAAGGCACGCUGACACGUAGGUGAAGUGAUUUACUCAUGGAGCUGAAGUCAGUCGAAGAUACCAGCUGGCUGCAACUGUUUAUUAAAAACACAGCACUGUGCAAACACGAAAGUGGACGUAUACGGUGUGACGCCUGCCCGGUGCCGGAAGGUUAAUUGAUGGGGUCAGCGCAAGCGAAGCUCCUGAUCGAAGCCCCGGUAAACGGCGGCCGUAACUAUAACGGUCCUAAGGUAGCGAAAUUCCUUGUCGGGUAAGUUCCGACCUGCACGAAUGGCGUAAUGAUGGCCAGGCUGUCUCCACCCGAGACUCAGUGAAAUUGAACUCGCUGUGAAGAUGCAGUGUACCCGCGGCAAGACGGAAAGACCCCGUGAACCUUUACUAUAGCUUGACACUGAACAUUGAGCCUUGAUGUGUAGGAUAGGUGGGAGGCUUUGAAGUGUGGACGCCAGUCUGCAUGGAGCCGACCUUGAAAUACCACCCUUUAAUGUUUGAUGUUCUAACGUGGACCCGUAAUCCGGGUUGCGGACAGUGUCUGGUGGGUAGUUUGACUGGGGCGGUCUCCUCCUAAAGAGUAACGGAGGAGCACGAAGGUUGGCUAAUCCUGGUCGGACAUCAGGAGGUUAGUGCAAUGGCAUAAGCCAGCUUGACUGCGAGCGUGACGGCGCGAGCAGGUGCGAAAGCAGGUCAUAGUGAUCCGGUGGUUCUGAAUGGAAGGGCCAUCGCUCAACGGAUAAAAGGUACUCCGGGGAUAACAGGCUGAUACCGCCCAAGAGUUCAUAUCGACGGCGGUGUUUGGCACCUCGAUGUCGGCUCAUCACAUCCUGGGGCUGAAGUAGGUCCCAAGGGUAUGGCUGUUCGCCAUUUAAAGUGGUACGCGAGCUGGGUUUAGAACGUCGUGAGACAGUUCGGUCCCUAUCUGCCGUGGGCGCUGGAGAACUGAGGGGGGCUGCUCCUAGUACGAGAGGACCGGAGUGGACGCAUCACUGGUGUUCGGGUUGUCAUGCCAAUGGCACUGCCCGGUAGCUAAAUGCGGAAGAGAUAAGUGCUGAAAGCAUCUAAGCACGAAACUUGCCCCGAGAUGAGUUCUCCCUGAG